AUAGGAUAGGAAGAUAGAUAGGAAGAUGAUACCGUGCAAUAAACGUCCUCAUAUUUUAAUACUGCACGGCUGCUAGUGCCCUUCAGUUAUAGUUAUAGUUAUGUAAGAGCUCUAUUCAGUUAAAUCUAGAUAGAAUAGAAAGAUGUAAUUUGUUCAGAAGGGGUGUUAUGGGUUUUUGAAUGAAGACGAUGACAGCACUUCUCGUCCGUUUGUACAUGAGUGCAUUUACAUCAGCACGGGGUCAUGCGAGCAGGACCUGCCACAUUCACGUCUUCAUGCUUGUAAAACUGUUUCCCUCAAGCAAGCACUUAAACGCUGACACUGUACACGGAAAAGUUGUAGGACCAAAACUAAGCAUUGGAUCGCUCUCCUUUUUAUUGUUAUUAUCAUGCUGUUGGGGAACAAAGGCAUUAAAUCAGUCCGCUCCUCAGGCAUGCCAUUAAACUAACACUUUGUAGUUCCCUGGUUUAUUGGGCUGAAGGUUGAGGCAGAGGACGGCUGUCAGGUUCGUCUUACUCAGCUGUAUAACAUCGUGCAUCUUUUAAUGUUCAUUAAGUACCUCUUUUUAUGUUAGGUACAAAUCCGUGCGGAAAUUCAACCGCUUAGUCUGAGAUUAAACACAUGACACCACAUAUAAACAAAUUUGUUUUUCUUAUUGUACGUUUUUCUCCUAAAAAUUUUGUACUGUUAGUUCUUUAUACUGUAGUUUAUAGUAUUUAGUUUUAUAAUCCCUUUGAUAUGUUUUCAGCUAAUAAAUCAGCUCUUCUCCUUUUAAGAUUUACUCCGAUGACCAAAUUUAACAUCGCUUUUUUUUUUUCUGGGCAAAAUCUCUACAGAAUUUAUUGUUCAGCUUUACCUGGUGUGUAUUUUCAAGUGUAUGCUAUGCCUGUAACGCACUUUAAUGGGAACAUAUAAAUAAACUCCUACAUAGAUAUAAAAAGUGACCGUGUAGAAAACCAUUGACUUUUACCUUUCCUGUAGGGGGACGAGGAAGUCUUUGUGCUAAUAUCUCCUCUUUAAUGCACCGGCGGUUUCCCAAACACGCCGCACAAGCCAUUAAAAUGUGAUUUGUGUAUAUCUUGUUUCUUUUUUUUUAAAGCUUAUGUGUGUGUUAUGUGUGUGUAGACUGAAGUUUAUUGUAAAUGUCAGCAAUUUCCACUUACAGAAGGAUUUUAAUUGAGAAUAUCCAUGUGUGAACAAUUUACAUUCAGGAUGCUGAGACACGUCACGAGGCUCAGAUAUGUAAACUUGUCCUGGAGAAGCAAGAACUAGAGUGGCAGAAGGUGUGUGUUCCAACAAGAGCCUUUUUUUAAGGCUAUGUGAACAGCAUUAGUAUGUCUUAAAAUGUUUGGUGUGAUAUUUUUAGGAGUCUCUACAAAAUCAAAUCAACAGGAUGACAAAUGAACUAUCAGAAUCCCUCGCUGCUGUUAAAAAGAAGUUUCAGGCUCAGGUUCAAGGAAUAGAAGAAGAAAAGGGGAAACACCAACUGAGUGCUGAAUUAAAGGACAAAGAGAUCACCAGCCUGAAGGAAGAGUUGAAGCUGCUGCAGGUACAUGGAUGUGCAGAGAAUCGUCAUUUUCUCCUUUGUACACAUUUUGUCUUCAGUGGGAAAAUUCAUCUCUUUGUUUUGUCAAACAAAUGACAUCUUUUGAUGGAUGCUGUCCUGUA